rnacentral:rRNA from 1 species
AGUGAACGCUGGCGGUAGGCCUAACACAUGCAAGUCGAACGGCAGCACAGGAGAGCUUGCUCUCUGGGUGGCGAGUGGCGGACGGGUGAGGAAUACAUCGGAAUCUACCUUUUCGUGGGGGAUAACUUAGGGAAACUUACGCUAAUACCGCAUACGACCUACGGGUGAAAGUGGGGGACCGCAAGGCCUCACGCGAUUAGAUGAGCCGAUGUCCGAUUAGCUAGUUGGCGGGGUAAUGGCCCACCAAGGCGACGAUCGGUAGCUGGUCUGAGAGGAUGAUCAGCCACACUGGAACUGAGACACGGUCCAGACUCCUACGGGAGGCAGCAGUGGGGAAUAUUGGACAAUGGGCGCAAGCCUGAUCCAGCCAUACCGCGUGGGUGAAGAAGGCCUUCGGGUUGUAAAGCCCUUUUGUUGGGAAAGAAAUCCUGUCGAUUAAUACGCGGUGGGGAUGACGGUACCCAAAGAAUAAGCACCGGCUAACUUCGUG